rnacentral:lncRNA from 1 species
UUUAACGGUGACAGCGUCAACUUAUCUUCUUCUAAACCCUAAUACCUAAAUCAGAGUUUCUUCUUCACUUCUUCUUCACCACAUCGACACCUUCCCACCACCGCCCUCCAUCAUCGUCCUGAGCCCCAACGCCACCCAUUCCGUCGCACGCAUCCGCCUCCAUCUCCAUCACCACUUCCGCGUCGCUGGUUCUGACCACCAUGGCCUCAGCCGUCUUCUCCAACCACACCGCAACCACUACGCACCACCGUUCGCUCUCACCUUUGCCGCCGGUCUUCGACAUCAGGUAAGCUUCGGGAAGAUGCAAAAUCAACAAACAUAGGUACCGUUGCUGGUUCCGACCAGCACGGCCUCAGCUGUCUUCUCCAACCACACCGGAACCACUACGCACCACCGUUCGCCCUCACCUUUGCCGCCGGUCUCCGACAUCAGAUGGAAAUGAAACAACCAGUGUAGUCAGGAGACUCAACAUAAGGUUUCUUCCAAAGGCGAGGAGCCUUCGAUGAAGGCGCAACAGAGUAUGACGAAGUCGAUAGGCCAGUAGCGUAUGGAAGACUACUCAAAACGUGGUCCGAGUGGGUCGAUUUAAAUGUAAACCCUAAUCGCAUCAUGGUCUUUUUUUAAUAGCAUGUCUCCUCUUCAUAUCAAAAAUAGAAUCACAGAAAACCGUCAUGGCUCAGACAAUCAGACCGGAACACUUAUAGCCUGCCUUACAGCACUAUAACCUCAGGAACAUCUAUGCACAUGUUGCAUUAAAAUCAAACAACAAUUACAAAUGGAAUGGCUGAAGAGCAACUAUUUUGGCAACAACUUAGGACAUCUUAAUUGCUUUGCAUUUCCUUAAUUUAAGCUGAUAGAAUAGCUAGACUAAUAUUGUUUAUGUAAAUAUAAUUGUUUCCGACACUUUCGAACACCUCUAGACUAGCGUUUAACAAUAAAUAUAACCAUUUUGUUCAAUGUUAUGAAAGUAAUGCUUAAACAUGUCG